CCCAGUUCUAUUCUGCCCAUAUAUAUCCUCAUUCUCUUCCCAUCACAUGUACAUUCAAAAGAUUGGUGGAACCAACAAGGCUGAAGUGUCAGAGCUGACAGACCUCAUUCACUGCAGAGACACAGACCGGAGCUCAAGGAUCUGGUGACUACUGUCUGUGGACACAGCUUCUGCAAGAGCUGUAUUAACACCCACUGGGACAAAGAGGAGGAGAGAGGAAG